CGUGCCAUGGAUCUAUCGAGAGCGGAAGCAGAGUUCCGAUGGGGGGUGGAACAGAGAGGAGGUUCAUAUGAGCGUGGAGGGGGUAGUGGUUCGACGAGGGGGAAUGUUAUGCAAAGGAUGUUUCGAAGGACCACUUCGCAGAGGGUGAGUCCUGUGGUGGAGGACUAUAACUUGGCAGCUGGUGGGAGAAGAGGAAUGACGCAACCAAGGAUUGAUACAUGCUCCUGGACGCAGAAGGGUAAGAAUACAAAGGAAGCUAUUGGUAAAGCUUGGUCAAAGUUUUUCCAUAUUGCAGGAGUACCUGGAAGACAGGCUGACAGUCCGUACUUUGUCAGCGCAGUCAGGGAGACACAGAAGUGGGGUGAAGGUAUCGCAUCACCCACUGGACGGGAUAUUGAUGGCAAGUACCUUGAUCAGAACAAGCAAGACUUGAAGACGAGGUACGUAAAGUUUUAGAAAGACUGGCCUUUAUUUGGCGUCACGUUGAUGUGUGAUUCAUGGACUGGCCUGACGAGAAUGAGUGACAUCAACUUUUUGAUAUAUUGCAAUGGGGUCAUGUGGUUCCAUAAAUCUAUUGAUGCGAGGGGAAGAACUCAAGAUGCUGCAUAUUUGUUCAAGGAGAUUCGAAAGGUGGUGGAAGAGAUUGGACCGGAGAAUGUCGUGCACGUAGUCACCGACAACGGCUCGAACUACAAGAAAGCAUGCAAGGAACUACUAAUUGAGGUGUAUGAACACAUAGCUUGGACACCUUGUCUAGCACACACCAUCAAUUUGAUGUUGAAGGAUAUAGCUCGAAGGCCUGAACAUGGUGUUAUGAUCAAGCAGUGCAAGCGAAUUUCAAAUUGGUUACACAAUCAUGGUCAGUUGAA